AUAAACGCUGGCGGCGUGCAUAAAACAUGCAAGUCGAACGAGGAGAGGCCGCAAGGCUGAACCGAGUGGCAGACGGCUGAAUAACGCGUAGGUGACUUGCCCGAAAGUGGGGAACAACGAUUCGAAAGAAUCGCUAAUACCGCAUGUGGUUGUGCGUGUAGGCGCGUGCAACUAAAGCCCGCAAGGGCGCUAUCGGAGAGGCCUGCGUCCGAUUAGCUAGUUGGUGGGGUAACGGCCUACCAAGGCGACGAUCGGUAGCUGAUCUGAGAGGAUGAUCAGCCAGACUGGGACUGAGACACGGCCCAGACUCCUACGGGAGGCAGCAGUUAGGAAUUUUGCACAAUGGGGGAAACCCUGAUGCAGCAACGCCGCGUGGAUGAAGAAGGCCUUCGGGUCGUAAAAUCCUUUUCAACGGGAAGAUACGGACGGUACCGUUGGAAUAAGCCUCGGCUAACUACGU
rnacentral:rRNA from 1 species